AUGGCUCAGAUUGAACGCUGGCGGCAGGCCUAACACAUGCAAGUCGAACGGUAACAGGAAGCAGCUUGCUGCUUGCUGACGAGUGGCGGACGGGUGAGUAAUGUCUGGGAAACUGCCUGAUGGAGGGGGGAUAACUACUGGAAACCGGUAGCUAAUACCGCAUAACGUCGCAAGACCAAAGAGGGGGACCUUCGGGCCUCUUGCCAUCGGAUGUGCCCAGAUGGGAUUAGCUAGUAGGUGGGGUAAAGGCUCACCUAGGCGACGAUCCCUAGCUGGUCUGAGAGGAUGACCAGCCACACUGGAACUGAGACACGGUCCAGACUCCUACGGGAGGCAGCAGUGGGGAAUAUUGCACAAUGGGCGCAAGCCUGAUGCAGCCAUGCCGCGUGUAUGAAGAAGGCCUUCGGGUUGUAAAGUACUUCAGCGGGGAGGAAGGGAGUAAAGUUAAUACCUUUGUUCAUUGACGUUACCCGCAGAAGAAGCACCGGCUAACUCCGUGCCAGCAGCUGC
rnacentral:rRNA from 1 species